rnacentral:lncRNA from 1 species
GUCCUGUUGUUUGUGGAAUAUUAGAGUUCUUUUGAAUAUGCCCAUUUGCUGUUGAAUGUUGCCCUCUUGCGAAGGCACAGGUUUCUGCUUAAAGCCCCAAAGGUGUAUUCAGUGCCCUGACCCAAGUAUAGCAGGUGGGGAAAUAGGUUUUCUCAUUCUGCUGGCAAAGUAGUCUGCUUCUUUAAAAGGGCAGGGAAAAGGAAGGGAAAGAAGAGGAAAAAUGUACAAGGAGCAGCAGGAAAACUGUGGAAAACCAUGAAGAAAUGCCAUCACAUAGAUCUGAGGGCUUGGGGUUGAUUUAUGUGAUUUUUAGUUUUGUUCGGAGGGGGGCGGUGUUGUUGAGGUUUGGCAUUUAUAAAGAAACACUUCUCUGAUUUCAGUCCAAUUGCUUCUCUUCUCUUUUCCAGUUUGACUGAAACUUUAAUUGCCUUUUCUAACAAGCGCUAACUGAUCUUUUGAAACAGCGAAAAUACAUGUAUAUCUCUUGAAAGGUGCCUUUGUGUACCUGGUCAAGAUCGCUGCGUGGGAGCAUUCUGUUCUUUGGUUCUUUGUGGGUGCCAGUAUUUAACUGCUUUAGAAUUCCUGGUGCUCCAUUUUGUCCAUUAACAAUUCUAAUUCAGAGAAUGACUUUUGUCUUGAAUCUAUGUUUUGGUAGGAACUCUUUUUAAAAGGACAUUGUCAGGGUUGUGAGUCCACGCACAAAGUGCUGUCCGUCAGUCAGAGCUACAUGGGAGGCAUAUCUUUAAUGAGCAAAAGUUCCUAGAAUUAAGGUGGUUGAAAUGUCUGAUGGGUAAAGACUUGCAUGUUUUAAGUUUCUGUGAGAUGUGGAUGAAGAAACAAAAGCUAUUAAUUUGGUAGACCCUAUGAAAAGUCAUUUUUUAUAAUGCUGGCUCUUGCUCUAGUUAUCAGCAGUACAUUAGGAAUAGUGUUUAGCAGUCAGUGCAAGCAAAGAUAUUUUGCCACGAGGCACUACAAAGUUGAAGUUAUUAAAACAUUUAUAGCCUUAGAAAAAAAAAUCAAUGAUUGUCAAAUAGGAAAGGACAAAAUCAGUAGCUGGGACUGGGAGGGGAAUUGUUUUCCAUCUGCUGAAACAGUAGAGGAAAUGCAAAAAUUAAACUAGUAAAAGCAAUCACUUGACAGUGUCCUUUUAAGUUUAAGCCCCUAUAUUAGGAAGCUGCCGCUGGGGAGUUAGUGCAGCCAUAGCUUGUUGUCCAGAGUGUUGCCAGUCAAUAUGCUUCAGCUACACAUCGGACUGUGUUCUACAUGAGGCUUUGUAAAGUAACAUGACUUCUGCUGAGGCUCACACCCUCGCCUUCGCUUCGUGUUCUUCCCAAGCGGCUCGUACACACACCCCUGCUGUGUGUUUGUGUAGUCAUUGCUUGUGUGCACCUUGCACGCUGUGGACCUACAGCGAUCACGCCCUUUCCAUUUCUAGCCCCUCCAAUCUUGCUGUUGAAUCCCAUCUUGAGCAUAUAUUUAUGUAUGUAUGUGAGGUCUUAAUCUAAUAAAUUAUCUGGGAAUUU